rnacentral:misc_RNA from 1 species
AACAGGAGGAUCAGGUUACAUAGCAUCCUGGCUGGUCUUUCUUUGAUUCUGAUCUUUAUGCAUGGUUUUCUUCAUCAGCUUCAAAUAUUGGGACAAGGGUUUGAUUGCUUUAAUUCUUGGCACGAUUGAUCAUCGAUCACCCUUUCCCUUCUUUGGUAGAUGAAAUUUUUUUUAAAGGGAAGGAAAGCAUCAGGAAUAAAUGAUUAAUCUCCUGCAUUUAUCCAUAUAUUGUUUUUGUUGGA